rnacentral:rRNA from 1 species
AUACGUAGGGGGCGAGCGUUGUCCGGAAUGAUUGGGCGUAAAGGGCGCGUAGGCGGCCCGGUAAGUCUGGAGUGAAAGUCCUGUUUUUAAGAUGGGAAUUGCUUUGGAUACUGUCGGGCUUGAGUGCAGGAGAGGUAAGUGGAAUUCCCAGUGUAGCGGUGAAAUGCGUAGAGAUUGGGAGGAACACCAGUGGCGAAGGCGACUUACUGGACUGUAACUGACGCUGAGGCGCGAAAGUGUGGGGAGCAAACAGGAUUAGAUACCCUGGUAGCCCACACUGUAAACGAUGAAUGCUAGGUGUAGGGGGUAUCGACCCCUUCUGUGCCGCAGUCAACACAAUAAGCAUUCCGCCUGGGGAGUACGGCCGCAAGGUUGAAACUCAAAGGAAUUGACGGGG